GCGUCGCGAGCUUUGCUCCCUUCUCCUGACCCUGGGCCAUUGAGUAAAAGGGCGGAGCUGCAGCAGGGAACCGCCUUGCCAGGGUUUCUUGGUGACUGUCCUGGAACUUACUCAGUAGACUAAACUGUCCUUGAACUCACAGAGAUCUACCUGCCACCUGCCUCAGCCUCCAGAGUGCUGGGAUUAAAGGUGUGCACUAUCACACCCAGUGAAAUUUGAAGGUUUUAUUGAUCCGGAACUUGAUACAGCCCAAUCCUUUUCGCAAUCUGGACCUUGAUCUUCCCCUAUCUCAGGCUAUCCCUGAGCUAUCCUUGGACUACAAUGGCCUGAGAGACUUAGAAGUACUUCCAUAGCUCAGGUGGUAGCUGUCAUUCUGGCUCUACGUCCCGGGGAUGUUCAUGGAAGCCACUGCAGUGGUCACCAUCCCUAGGGUCACCAUAGCCCGACGAUGAUGAAGAUGAUAAUGAUGAUGGCCGACCUGGCCAGGAUCCUUGGCUCCUAGUGUAACCUUGUCCUGAUAACCAAUAUAGUCAUUUGACAACUGUCAUUUUCACAUAUGUGCAUAUGUGUGCCCUGGGUUCCUGAGGAACUUGCCCCUGUAGACCUUACAGGUUCCUCUGAUACCUUGAAUGUCAGUCGCUGUGAGCAAGGUGUUCUAAUGUCUUGCCUUGGGCUGGUUUCCUGGCAGUGAUAGGUGCCAUUGUGGUUUAGGUUGACAAGUAGUGAGGUACCUCAGGCCUGGUGUCCUCAUGCUGGAGCUUCAGAGCUCAUUGCCCUGGGCCUGACACUGCCAGAUGUGCUUUAAAACCCUCGAGGUGCAAGUGGCCAGGCCCUUUCCGUAGACAACCAAACCCUGGCCUACAGAAAGAGAGAAAAAAAAGCCCAAGAUCAGGCUGUAGAAUCCCACCAGCCCCUGAGCUUGUCCUAAGAUCUGGCCACAGAAUCCCACCAACUCCCAGGGCGUCCUGAAAACCCCUUUAUAUAAAGCCUGUCUCCUGCUCAGCCCUCUGCUGCUUGUCUCCAGAACGAAGGCAUCCACUCUCUUGUGUUUUUCCAGUAAAUCUCUUGUGUGAGG